UCCGGUUGAUCCUGCCGGGGUUCACCGCUAUUGGAGUUCGCUUAAGCCAUGCAAGUCGAGAGGGGUAAGCCCUCGGCGUACCGCUCAGUAACACGCGGAUAAUCUACCCUAUGGUGAGGGAUAAUCUCGGGAAACUGAGGCUAAUACCUCAUAGGUCAGAUAUGUUGGAAUGCUUUCUGGUCGAAAGCUGAGGCGCCAUAGGAUGAGUCUGCGGCCUAUCAGGUAGUAGUGAGUGUAACGGACUCACUAGCCGACGACGGGUACGGGCUGUGGAAGCAGUCGCCCGGAGAUGGAUUCUGAGACACGAAUCCAGGCCCUACGGGGCGCAGCAGGCGCGAAAACUUAACACUGCAGGAAACUGCGAUUAGGGAACUCCAAGUGUCUAUGCUUCGCAUAGACUGUUUUCCUGUCUAAAAAACAGGGAGAGUAAGGGCUGGGUAAGACGGGUGCCAGCCGCCGCGGUAAUACCCGCAGCCCGAGUGGUGAACACUUUUAUUGGGCCUAAAGCGUCCGUAGCCGGUCUGGUAAAUCCUUGGGUAAAUCGUACGGCCUAACCGUGCGAACACUGGGGAGACUGUCAGACUUGGGACUGGGAGAGGUUGGAGGUACUCCAGGGGUAGGGGUGAAAUCCUGUAUUCCUUGGAGGACCACCGGUGGCGAAGGCGUCCAACUAGAACGGAUCCGACGGUGAGGGACGAAGCCGUGGGGCACAAACCGGAUUAGAUACCCGGGUAGUCCACGGUGUAAACGCUGCGGGCUUGGUGUUGGAGGUCCUAAGGGGGCCUCCAGUGCCGGAGAGAAAUUGUUAAGCCUGCCGCCUGGGGAGUACGGUCGCAAGACUGAAACUUAAAGGAAUUAGCGGGGGAGCACCGCAACGGGAGGAGCGUGCGGUUUAAUUGGAUUCAACGCCGUAAAACUCACCGGGGGAGACCUUACAUGAAGGCCAAGCUGAUGACUUUGCCUGAUUUUGAGAGAGGUGGUGCAUGGCCGCCGUCAGUUCGUACCGCAAGGCGUUCUGUUAAGUCAGAUAACGAACGAGACCCCAAUCCUUAAUUGCCAAGCUUCCCUCCGGGGGAGCGGAACAUUAAGGGGACCGCUGGUGUUAAAUCAGAGGAAGGCGGGGCAACGGUAGGUCAGUAUGCCCUGAAUCCCUCGGGCUACACGCGCGCUACAAAGGACAAGACAAUGGGUUCCAACAUCGAAAGGUGGAGGCAAUCCCGAAACUUGUUCGUAGUUCGGAUUGAGGACUGUAACCCGUCCUCAUGAAGGUGGAUUCCUUAGUAAUCGUAAGUCAACAUCUUACGGUGAAUAUGCCCCUGCUCCUUGCACACACCGCCCGUCAAACCAUCUGAGUAGGGCGAGGAUGAGGGUUCAUCUAAUUGGUGGAUUCGAAUCCUUGUUCUGCAAGGAGGGUUAAGUCGUAACAAGGUA
rnacentral:rRNA from 1 species